rnacentral:tmRNA from 1 species
GGGGAUGUUUAGGAUUCGACAGGGAUACUGGUCUUCUUGGCGGCAUGUAGGAGGGUUGACUUCUUUAACAACACAUUCAGUUAAAUAUAACUGGCGAAAAAACAAAUUACGCUUUAGCAGCUUAAUAAGCUAAAGGCUGGUUACUUUGUUCGACUGCGGCAAGGUUAAUCGGUUCAUUAAUAGCAGUCUACGAAUAUACUUUUCCGUUUGUAAAGUUUAUUAAGAGAUAAAUCAAACUCGUUUUCUAUUGCCUGUUUAUCGGCUUAUGUAGAAAAUUAAAUUCAAUAGAUAAACUAAACAUGUAGAAACUAAGGGGAGGUGUUUUUGGACGCGGGUUCAAAUCCCGCCAUCUCCAUA